rnacentral:rRNA from 1 species
GACGAACGCUGGCGGCGUGCCUAACACAUGCAAGUCGAGCGGGGGUACUGAAGAGCAAUCGGAGGUGCCCCAGCGGCGGACGGGUGAGUAACGCGUGAGCAACCUGCCUCUUACUGGGGGAUAACGCAGCGAAAGCUGCACUAAUACCGCAUGAGACCACGGCGCUGAUGGCGCAGGGGUCAAAGGAGCAAUCCGGUGAGAGAUGGGCUCGCGUCCGAUUAGGUAGUUGGUGAGGUAAAGGCCCACCAAGCCAAAGAUCGGUAGCCGGCCUGAGAGGGUGAACGGCCACAUUGGAACUGAGAGACGGUCCAAACUCCUACGGGAGGCAG